rnacentral:lncRNA from 1 species
AAUGAGCCCUUACUUUGUGCUGGGCACACAGUAACAUAGUGCAAUUUUUCAUUCUCCUUCUCUUGCUGCAGGUGGACGGACUAGUAAAUAUGCUUUCUACCCUAGAGCUUAUGAAAAGAACACCAUUCUCGACAUUUGAUGAUUCUUUUUCCUGUAACCGUCCUUGAAUAGACAGGAAAGUCUACUGCUUUAUCGUGAGUCUCCAAAUCAUCCAAAUAUAACUUCUUACCAGAAUUCUUGUGGCUGGGCCUUUCAGAUGCUAAAGCUUCUAUUCUGGAAGACCUAUUCCUCCUUGACACAUUAUUUUCUACAAGACUUCAUUUAUGUAAUAUUUGGCUUUGUGGACACCUGCUAAGGUUGGAUCAGCUUCUUAUUUGCCUUCAAUAAGUGUCCUUUCUCUUGUUUUUCUGUCCUAUCUUAAAGCCUGUCUUUUUAUAAACAGUCUCUUAUUGAUUUUUUUCCUGACAUUUCCACCUUCUAAGCUUGUACUAUUGCCCCAAGAAUCAUGUUCCUGGCUUACGUGAUUUCUUGAGUGUAGAAUUUUGAACUUGGAAACUAUUGUAUAUACCCUCGUGAUUCAAAUAAAUUCAGAGAAAG